GGGAGCCCCAGGGUGGCUGUCGCUAGAAAUGGUGAGGAAAGUCCCCCCUCCAGGUAGGAGCUUGGAUAAAACCUUGGCCGAGAGGCCAACCUUACUUCAAAAGAAAUGAUACAGCUUCAGUUAAGUGUGACCCUGAAAAGGUGACGUUCCUGAAAUACUGAUGAGACAGGGGUAGGGAAGCGGUGCAAGCCCAAGCAGUUCCAGUGAAAUCUACCAGAGGAACAGGUAGGGCGCAUUAGUCAAAUGCCAUCAACCCUUUUGGGCUAACAGAAGGGGGCUUACUCGGGGCACCC
rnacentral:RNase_P_RNA from 1 species